rnacentral:rRNA from 1 species
AAGGCUUGGUCACCUCCCACCCGUGUUUAUUUUACCUUGUUGCUUCGGCGGGCCCGCCUUAACUGGCCGCCGGGGGGCUUACGCCCCCGGGCCCGCGCCCGCCGAAGACACCCUCGAACUCUGUCUGAAGAUUGUAGUCUGAGUGAAAAUAUAAAUUAUUUAAAACUUUCAACAACGGAUCUCUUGGUUCCGGCAUCGAUGAAGAACGCAGCGAAAUGCGAUACGUAAUGUGAAUUGCAAAUUCAGUGAAUCAUCGAGUCUUUGAACGCACAUUGCGCCCCCUGGUAUUCCGGGGGGCAUGCCUGUCCGAGCGUCAUUGCUGCCCUCAAGCACGGCUUGUGUGUUGGGCCCCGUCCUCCGAUCCCGGGGGACGGGCCCGAAAGGCAGCGGCGGCACCGCGUCCGGUCCUCGAGCGUAUGGGGCUUUGUCACCCGCUCUGUAGGCCCGGCCGGCGCUUGCCGAUCAACCCAAAUUUUUAUCCAGGUUGACCUCGGAUCAGGUAGGGAUACCCGCUGAACUUAAGCAUAUCAAAAGCCGGAGGAA